AUGUUCCAUAUUCAACAUACAUUCUGCCAACAUGAUGUGGACUGGCCUGAUUUUUUUUGUUUAGCGUAUGCUCAUUGUGCCUCUGACCUGAUUAAUUGCCUGGGUGUCGCAUACAUGUGGCAUCCACCACAUGUGAGAGAUUGCACUUCGCAUUCCUUGUCUGUAUUUAUUAUGCAAUGAGAUUGACUUGUAGCAAUCUGCUCCAACCACAACGUGAUCGAACACUGAGCUCUGAUUUUUCAAUCAAAUGUUGCCACAACACACAUCAUCUUGAUUUUGGUAAAGAGACUGCAUGGUGGGGACCACCUAUGAACACAGAUAAAGGUUGAAGAAUCAUAACACAUCAUCCCAUAUGUAUACCUCGUGUCCGACUGUAGCUAUCUACAGGCAAGGUUCCUGUACAUAUAGCCCGCUCGGGCAUUUCUCCAUUUGUUUUCUUUUGUAGCCACUUGUAGUUUAGUGUAUGGGGUUCCAAAGAUGUAUGUUCCAAGACCAUGAAUACAGUCAACUCUCCUUCAAUGAUUGUGCUUCUGUAAUGGAUACCAUAAAAUGGGUAGAUGCAAUAUUUUCACUGUAUUAUGGAUCUCACAUGGUAAAGCUAUUUUCCAUAAUACAUUCUU